UUUCUGAAGAGAUUUGGUGAGGCAGAUAGGCGGGUAGAGUGGUAGACAGGCAAAGAUAGCCAGCGACGUGAGUGCGACAAACCAAUCACUGCUCGCACCACGACACACCCUUUCAAUGUCCGUCUCGUUUAUUUUUGAGACGAUCCUAGCAAGAUAGUGACUAAUAAAAAAAUACGUUUUACGUUUAUCUUAUUGUCAACAUCAGCCAAUAAGAUUUUGAUGCUCGUCGGCCUAUAAUCAUUUUAAAUUGCGGCAGUAUGACAGAACAACAAAUGGACUGUGCGCUAGACCUGAUGCGGAGAUUACCUCCGCAACAAAUUGAAAAAAAUCUUAGCGACCUGAUUGACUUGGUUCCUUCACUAUGCGAGGAUCUACUGUCCUCGGUAGAUCAGCCGUUAAAGAUUGCCAAGGAUAAGGAAUCUGGCAAGGACUACCUGUUGUGCGACUACAAUAGAGAUGGGGAUUCAUACAGGUCUCCUUGGAGCAACACUUACGAUCCACCGUUAGAAGAUGGCUCGAUGCCUUCCGAGCGAUUGAGGAAGCUGGAAAUAGAUGCCAAUCAUGCCUUUGAUCAAUAUCGAGAGCUUUAUUUCGAAGGUGGAGUUUCGUCGGUGUACUUAUGGGACUUGGAUCAUGGCUUUGCAGCAGUAAUUCUCAUCAAGAAGGCUGGCGACGGUUCCAAGAAGAUUAAAGGAUGUUGGGAUUCGAUACAUGUGGUGGAGGUACAGGAGAAAUCUACUGGUCGUACUGCUCACUAUAAACUCACAUCAACAGCUAUGCUGUGGUUGCAGACCAACAAACAUGGUUCUGGUACAAUGAACUUAGGUGGCAGUCUGACGCGUCAGGUGGAACAAGAUGCUCAGAUCAGCGAAACGUCCCCUCAUAUUGCCAACAUUGGCAGAAUGGUGGAGGACAUGGAGAACAAGAUUCGUAAUACAUUAAACGAGAUCUAUUUCGGUAAAACGAAGGAUAUCGUCAAUGGGUUGCGGUCGGUGCAAUCUUUGGCUGAUCAAAGACAGCAGGCUGCGCUCAGGCAAGAUCUCGCAGCGGCGCUGCAGAGGCGAAACGCCAACAAUUGAUCUUGCGAAGAGCAGGAAAGUUUCAAUUACGAUUACGAAUAGAAUUUUAUGAAUCCGUGGAACUUUGGAUUCUUGAAAGUUUUCAAUUUUUUGCGGCGUUCCUCGAGUUCUUUCCCGAUAAGUCUUAACAUCUCGUUGGACUUUUGGAGAAUUUUAAAUGCUGCGACUUGGGCCUUUUCCAGGGCGUCAAACCGUAUCUAUGGAACUCAUAAAAUCCUUUGAAUCAUUGUCUACAUUAUUGAUAUCGAUAAUGAUACUUAUUACUGAACUUUGUUGCCCUAAAAGAGAUACAAAUCAAUCAUGAACGUGUUGAUUAAACCUAAACAGUAUGAAAUACUUUGUUUAAUUUAGAAUGAAAUAGAGUUUAUUGUAAAUAUGCGGAAAAAGUGCAACGCGUUUUAGAUCAGUAAAUUAGAUAAAAAACUAUGUAAAAUGCAAAAGAGUGAAUUAUAAUAAUAUAGUUAACGCUUAUUGUGUAAAAACUCGAAAAAACUACAUUUAACAAUUUUCUCUUUUGAUUUAUACUGAGUUUGAUAAAUGAUAAUUGCAAAUUGUAAUAAAUUUAUAACAUUUUUCUAAUGUUUGAAAAGUAUUAAUAUUUCAUUUAUACUGUUUAGGAUUAAAUUUAAAAGUAUAUAAUUUAGCGCUUGAAAACAAUGUAAAAUGUUUUGCGUAAAAAUUGUAAAAGGACUAUCUUAUUGUAAUAAGGAAUUUGUCCUCAUAAAUGAAAACCUUUUGAAGAUUGCACAUAAGAAUAAAAAAUUCUUUACAUUUAUAUUAAAGUUACACUAGUUAACAGCUAAAAAUCAUUUUAAACUAGACAAGGUGUUUCUAGUAGAUUUUUGAAUGUUGAAAACUAUGUAAACCAAAUUUCAUCAGAUUUCUAAGGUUGAGUUUUAAGUUUUAUUAUGUAAAAAUUGACUUUUUUAUUAUAUUUAAGAUCUUUGUAAAAAAAAGUUAACAUUAUUUGAAAAUUUUCUGAUUAAAUAUCAUGAAAAUGUAGUGUUCGUUUCCUAUAAAAUUUAUUUUUCUAAUUUCGAUAUCUUACCUUUAUCCAUUUUAUGAAGGAUUUAAAUACAAAAUUUUGUUGAUAACAUAUGCCUGUGAUAAAGUAUAUAUUAUAUGUUUAUAAUUUAUAAUUCAGGGUAUCGGUUGCACAUACACAAUAUAAUUUACCAUUUUAGAUUCCACUAAAUAACUAUAUAUAUAUAUACAUAGUCUCAUUUUAUUUGCCUACUUCGCAUUUUCUUAAACAAAUGCGUUAAAAAAUGUUUCAAAUAAGUUUUAUUAUUUUACAGGAUGAUAAAAUUAAUUUUAGAAAAAUUUUUCAAAAUUUUUACUUUCAUAUACGCCCUCAUAUGAGUAAUUCUCAACUUUUCGUAGCACAGCUAAAAAUUAAGUUAUCUAAAUUAAAAAAUACAUUUUUAAGGGAUAAACAAUACAUUCAUGACAUCAGAAUUUCCAGAUAAUGUUGACUUUUUACAAGAAAAUCUGAAACAUUACAAGUUUUUUUCUACAUGUUAUACUUCAAUUAUUUUGAAAACCUGAUGUGCUGAUAAAAUUUGGUUUAUGGCACUUUUCAACAUUUGAAAAUUUAUAAGAAACACUUCGUCUAGUAAAAUAAUAAAAACAAAUUUUUUUGUAAACUAGUGUUAUUUAAAACUAUUUAGAUACAAACAAAUAAAACUCAAAAAAUUGUGUCAUAUUUCAAUAUUGAAAGAUAUAAAUCCGAUAUAGCAUAAUCUCCUCUUUUGGAGAGAUAGUGAAACAAUUUGUUUACAUGACAAUCCAAAAGAAACAGUUGCAUUUUGCAUUUGUUAAUAAUGAAUCCAUAUGCGCAAAUAAAAGUUUUCAAAUUAAA
rnacentral:misc_RNA from 1 species